AAGCCAUGACAAACUUCAAGGUGUCUAGAAUCACUCCACAAAAUUUCAAGUCCAUCCAAUACAUAUCAAGAAUUUCACAAAACAUUUAAGAUCAUGACUCACAAAACGUCCCCCAUUGGUCAAACAGAAAGGAAAUUCUUAAACAAAUUGGAAAUGCAUCCAAAAAUUCCAUAAAUAUUCACAAGUGAACCUAACAUCCAGAAGUAUCAACAUGCAAUAAUUCACAUC
rnacentral:lncRNA from 1 species